rnacentral:rRNA from 1 species
AUUGAACGCUGGCGGCAGGCCUAACACAUGCAAGUCGAGCGGAUGAAGGGAGCUUGCUCCUGGAUUCAGCGGCGGACGGGUGAGUAAUGCCUAGGAAUCUGCCUGGUAGUGGGGGAUAACGUCCGGAAACGGGCGCUAAUACCGCAUACGUCCUGCGGGAGGCAGUGGGGGAUCUUCGGACCUCACGCUAUCAGAUGAGCCUAGGUCGGAUUAGCUAGUUGGUGGGGUAAAGGCCUACCGAGGCGACGAUCCGUAACUGGUCUGAGAGGAUGAUCAGUCACACUGGAACUGAGACACGGUCCAGACUCCUACGGGAGGCAGCAGUGGGGAAUAUUGGAAAAUGGGCGAAAGCCUGAUCCAGCCAUGCCGCGUGUGUGAAGAAGGUCUUCGGAUUGUAAAGCACUUUAAGUUGGGAGGAAGGGCAGUAAGUUAAUACCUUGCUGUUUUGACGUUACCAACAGAAUAAGCACCGGCUAACUUCGUG